AUUGAACGCUGGCGGCAUGCUUUACACAUGCAAGUCGAACGGUAACAGGCCGCAAGGUGCUGACGAGUGGCGAACGGGUGAGUAAUGCAUCGGAACGUGCCCAGUCGUGGGGGAUAACGCAGCGAAAGCUGCGCUAAUACCGCAUACGAGCUAUGGAUGAAAGCGGGGGACCGAAAGGCCUCGCGCGAUUGGAGCGGCCGAUGUCAGAUUAGGUAGUUGGUGGGGUAAAGGCUCACCAAGCCAACGAUCUGUAGUUGGUCUGAGAGGAUGACCAGCCACACUGGGACUGAGACACGGCCCAGACUCCUACGGGAGGCAGCAGUGGGGAAUUUUGGACAAUGGGCGCAAGCCUGAUCCAGCAAUGCCGCGUGCAGGAAGAAGGCCUUCGGGUUGUAAACUGCUUUUGUACGGAACGAAAAGGCUCUGGUUAAUACCUGGGGCUCAUGACGGUACCGUAAGAAUAAGCACCGGCUAACUACGUGCCAGCAGCCGCGGUAAGAC
rnacentral:rRNA from 1 species